rnacentral:misc_RNA from 1 species
GAUGAAGAACGAAGCGAAAUGCGAUAAGUAAUGUGAAUUGCAGAAUUCAGUGAAUCAUCGAAUCUUUGAACGCACAUUGCGCCCCCUGGUAUUCCGGGGGGCAUGCCUGUCCGAGCGUCAUUACAACCCUCAAGCUCAGCUUGGUGUUGGGCCCCGCCGCCCCGGCGGGCCCUAAAGUCAGUGGCGGUGCCGUCCGGCUCCGAGCGUAGUAAUUCUUCUCGCUCUGGAGGUCCGGUCGUGUGCUCGCCAGCAACCCCCAAUUUUUUUCAGGUUGACCUCGGAUCAGGUAGGGAUACCCGCUGAACUUAAGCAUAUCAAUAAGCGGAGGA